UGCGAGCGUAGUUCAACGGUAGAACGGUACUCCUUUGAGUUGCUGACUAGAUACUAUGCAGAUGCAGGUUCGACUCCUACCGCUCGCGU
rnacentral:tRNA from 1 species